UACGUAGGGACCAAGCGUUGUUCGGAUUUACUGGGCGUAAAGGGCGCGUAGGCGGCAAUUCAAGUCAUCUGUGAAAUCUCCGGGCUUAACUCGGAACGGUCAGGUGAUACUGCUUUGCUAGAGUGCGGAAGGGGCAAUCGGAAUUCUUGGUGUAGCGGUGAAAUGCGUAGAUAUCAAGAGGAACACCUGAGGUGAAGACGGGUUGCUGGGCCGACACGUGACGCUGACAGCGCGAAAGCCAGGGGAGCAAACGGG
rnacentral:rRNA from 1 species